AAAAUGUGAUACUUAGUGUGAAUUGCAGAAUUCAGUGAAUCAUCGAAAUCUUGAACGCAUACUGCGCCCACUAGUUCUCUAGUGGGCACACUUGAUCGAGGGUCUACACCUAUUUGUCCACUCACUCAAAAAGAGUGGGCGUAUUGACAGUAUGAACCAGUGGUGGGCGGCUCAUUCUGUUUAAAUUUAGAACCGUACUCGAGAGCACUUGGUCUUUAGUGAAAUACGCGAGAGAACAGGCCUUGAAGUAGCAGGUAAAUAGAAAACACUGGCCUUCGGGGGCCUUUAAACAACUAGACCUCGAUUCAAGUGAGAACACCCGCUGAACUUAA
rnacentral:misc_RNA from 1 species